rnacentral:rRNA from 1 species
CUUGACUCUAGUCUGGCACUGUAAGGAGACAUGAGAGGUGUAGCAUAAGUGGGAGCUACGCCGGCCCUCGGGCUGGCGCCGUCGACGGUGAAAUACCACUACUUUGAUAGUUUCUUUACUUACUCGGUGAGGCGGAGGGCGUGCGCAGUCGUCGAUUCGUCGCGGCUGCGUCACGGUAUUCUGGAUCCAAGGGAGUUGCGGUCGCGGGCGCCACUGGGACGCGGGCGCACGGGGAUCGGCCGUCCGGGCCGGGGGUAAACCUUCGGCCCGCGGCUCGCCGCCCCCCGUGCGCUCCGUCCCUAGCUCGUGUUUAUCCCUCCCGAUCCGAUUCGAGGACACCGCCAGGCGGGGAGUUUGACUGGGGCGGUACAUCUGUCAAAGAAUAACGCAGGUGUCCUAAGGCUAGCUCAGCGAGGACAGAAACCUCGCGUGGAGCAAAAGGGCAAAUGCUGGCUUGAUCCCGAUGCUCAGUACGCAUAGAGACUGCGAAAGCACGGCCUAUCGAUCCUUUUGGCUUGGGGAGUUUCCAGCAAGAGGUGUCAGAAAAGUUACCACAGGGA